rnacentral:rRNA from 1 species
ACGCUCGACACCUACGGGAGGCAGCAGUGGGGAAUAUUGCACAAUGGGGGAAACCCUGAUGCAGCGACGCCGCGUGGAGGAAGAAGGUCUUCGGAUUGUAAACUCCUGCUGUUGGGGAAAAANAGGAUGGUACCCCAACAAGGAAGUGACGGCUAACUACGUGCUAGCAGCCGCGGUAAUCUGAGCGGGCUGGCAGGC